AGACAUCAAAGUUGCAAUGAAUUGCUCACAUUCACCUGUUAAAACAUGGAUUGUGUCAUGGUUUUACUCAGCGUUGUAUCUCAGAGCCCAGCUCAGUGCCUUGCACUGUGCCUAGCAGAAGAGAGAGUGGAAGGGAGAGAGAGAAACUUCAGAGCAAGAGAGAAACACUGGUUGGUUGCCUCCUGGAUGUGCCCUGACCAGGGAUUGUAUGCACCUGGACAGGGGAUUGAACCUGCAACCUAGUCCUGAAGAAGAGCCGCUACCUCCAUAGCCCAAGACAGCGUUCAUGUUCCAGGUAGAAGGUGGAGAGAGGGAUGAACAAAAAGAGGAUGAAGAGUUCUGAAGAUUGGUUAAACAAUAUGAAUGUGUUUGACAUCACUGAAUCGUACACGUAAAAAUUGUUAAGAUGGUUAACACAUACUAAAGAGCAAUGCUGUUUGAGGAGCAGAGAAACUCUGGAAAACUCUGCUGUCUGAAAUAAAAGCAAGGCACUCUCCAUUAACAGCUGGUGGAUUCCUGAUUUCUGCCCACAGAAGGCUUGUUCACACUGAGAGAGAUCUCCCAU